GACGAACGCUGGCGGCGUGCUUAACACAUGCAAGUCGAACGGAAAGGCCCUGCUUUUGUGGGGUGCUCGAGUGGCGAACGGGUGAGUAACACGUGAGUAACCUGCCCUUGACUUUGGGAUAACUUCAGGAAACUGGGGCUAAUACCGGAUAGGAGCUCCUGCUGCAUGGUGGGGGUUGGAAAGUUUCGGCGGUUGGGGAUGGACUCGCGGCUUAUCAGCUUGUUGGUGGGGUAGUGGCUUACCAAGGCUUUGACGGGUAGCCGGCCUGAGAGGGUGACCGGCCACAUUGGGACUGAGAUACGGCCCAGACUCCUACGGGAGGCAGCAGUGGGGAAUAUUGCACAAUGGGCGGAAGCCUGAUGCAGCAACGCCGCGUGCGGGAUGACGGCCUUCGGGUUGGAAACCGCUUUCGCCUGUGACGAAGCGUGAGGGACGGUAAUGGGUAAAGAAGCACCGGCGAACUACGU
rnacentral:rRNA from 1 species